rnacentral:tmRNA from 1 species
GGGGCCGUCUGGUUUUGACAGCAAGUUCGGGGGGAUGUAAGCAGGUCGGAAUUUGUGGGCUGAUUCCGUCAAAAAUUAACCCUCAAUGCCAAAUAAAUGGCGAAACUUCAUACGCAUUCGCAGCGUAAGCUAGCGAAUUCCGCCGCACGGACAAGGUCCGCAGCCGCGGGUGCUCCCCCGGAAGUUUUUCGGCUCAACGUCCGGACCGGAGUAUCAUAAAAGGGCUGAUAGCCAAGGUCGCGCUUCGAGGCUGAGGCGAAAUUUUAGAAGAUAAGCGCCUGCCAGGUGUGUCCCGUACCAUGCAGGCGCCGACAACCAAACGGAGACUAAACUUGUAGAAAGCAUUCUUGCGGCGUGUUUGGACGAGGGUUCGACUCCCUCCGGCUCCACA